CUUGUCAUAAACCACAUGUAGUUAGGUGCAAUAAAAAAAAGUGUUAAGCUCUUUGUGGCUUGUCAUGUCUUUGUGACUCUCAAACCUGUAACAGUUAGCAGGAUCUGAUCCAGCCGUCCUUGAUUUCUCCUGCCUUCAGACAUUUUUCACAACAUGUCAGGCGAAUGAACAAGCUUCUCUGAAGUUUGUUGGAAUUGGACACUGGGGUGGACUUCCUAUAUUCCCCUACAACACGCCACAUGAGUUUGGCACGGCCAAUGAACUAGGCAGAAUCGCUAAGGGCUCAGGUCUGGACUUUGUCCUCAGUCUUGGAGAUCAUUUCUACUUCAGAGGGAUCAGGGAUAUAGAUGACACCCGGUUUAAGUUUUAAUGAAGGGCUAUUCUUCAGUCUUCCUAUGAGAGUGUUUUCUCUCACCCCGCGCUGAUGGACGUGUCGUGGUACCUGGUAGCAGGAAACCAUGAUCACCGUGGAAACAUAUCAGCCCAGAUCGCUUACUCAAACAGAUCGGAAAGAUGGUGAGUGAGGUCAAAGGUCAAGCUCUGUGUAUUAAAGAAUGUAAACAUGGGCAUUCAUUCGUUCACGACCACAGUGUACUGCUGUUAAUGUUUGGCAGGAUCUACCCAGAACUCUACUA